AAAGCUCGACUUGUCGCUAAGGGUUAUCGACAAGUUCAAGGGAUUGACUACGACGAGACAUUCUCUCCCGUAGCGAAGCUUAAGUCCGUCCGAAUCAUGUUAGCAAUUGCCGCAUACUAUGAUUAUGAGAUAUGGCAGAUGGACGUCAAAACGGCAUUCCUUAAUGGGCAUCUUAAGGAAGAGCUGUAUAUGAUGCAGCCGGAAGGUUUUGUCGAUCCUGAGAACGCUAACAAAGUAUGCAAGCUCCAGCGAUCCAUUUAUGGGCUGGUGCAAGCAUCUCGGAGUUGGAAUAUUCGCUUUGAUGAGAUGAUCAAAGCGUUUGGGUUUAUGCAGACUUAUGGAGAAGCCUGCGUUUACAAGAAAGUGAGUGGGAGCUCUGUAGCAUUUCUCAUAUUAUAUGUG
rnacentral:rRNA from 1 species